GACGAACGCUGGCGGCGUGCUUAACACAUGCAAGUCGAACGGAAAGGCCCUGCUUUUGUGGGGUGCUCGAGUGGCGAACGGGUGAGUAACACGUGAGUAACCUGCCCUUGACUUUGGGAUAACUUCAGGAAACUCGGGCUAAUCCCGGCUAGGAGCUCCUGCUGCAUGGUGGGGGUUGGACAGUUUCGGCGGUUGGGGAUGGACUCGCGGCUUAUCAGCUUGUUGGUGGGGUAGUGGCUUACCAAGGCUUUGACGGGUAGCCGGCCUGAGAGGGUGACCGGCCACAUUGGGACUGAGAUACGGCCCAGACUCCUACGGGAGGCAGCAGUGGGGAAUAUUGCACAAUGGGCGGAAGCCUGAUGCAGCAACGCCGCGUGCGGGAUGACGGCCUUCGGGUUGUAAACCGCUUUCGCCUGUGACGAAGCGUGAGUGACGGUAAUGGGUAAAGAAGCACCGGCGAACUACGUG
rnacentral:rRNA from 1 species